rnacentral:misc_RNA from 1 species
AAGUCGUAACAAGGUUUCCGUAGGUGAACCUGCGGAAGGAUCAUUAACAAAUCUCUAAAACACACUGUUCUUCUUCUCUUCUCCUUCACAAGAGGAGGAGUGAAGAAGGCAGUAACAUCCUAACCUGUGAAUCGGCAGUAUCACUCUGUGUUACUGUUUGCGUUUUGGUGUUGGGUUGCCGCGCUUGUCGUCGCAGCUUCAGCCAAAUGCACAAAAUUAACGUCUAUGAUAUUGUCUUAGCAUUUUGCAAAAAACAAAAACAACUUUUAGCAAUGGAUCUCUUGGCUUCU